rnacentral:rRNA from 1 species
AGUGAGCGCUGGCGGUAGGCCUAACACAUGCAAGUCGAACGGCAGCACAGUAAGAGCUUGCUCUUACGGGUGGCGAGUGGCGGACGGGUGAGGAAUACAUCGGAAUCUACUUUUUCGUGGGGGAUAACGUAGGGAAACUUACGCUAAUACCGCAUACGACCUACGGGUGAAAGCAGGGGAUCUUCGGACCUUGCGCGAUUGAAUGAGCCGAUGUCGGAUUAGCUAGUUGGCGGGGUAAAGGCCCACCAAGGCGACGAUCCGUAGCUGGUCUGAGAGGAUGGUCAGCCACACUGGAACUGAGACGCGGUCCAGGCUCCUACGGGAGGCAGCAGGGGGGAAUAUUGGACAAUGGGCGCAAGCCUGAUCCAGCCAUACCGCGUGGGUGAAGAAGGCCUUCGGGUUGUAAAGCCCUUUUGUUGGGAAAGAAAAGCAGCAGGUUAAUACCCCGCUGUUCUGACGGUACCCAAAGAAUAAGCACCGGCUAACUUCGU